UCGCGCUAUCAGAUGAGCCUGCGUUAGAUUAGCUAGUUGGUAGGGUAAAGGCCUACCAAGGCGACGAUCUAUAGCUGGUCUGAGAGGACGAUCAGCCACACUGGGACUGAGACACGGCCCAGACUCCUACGGGAGGCAGCAGUGGGGAAUAUUGGACAAUGGGCGCAAGCCUGAUCCAGCAAUACCGCGUGUGUGAAGAAGGCCUAAGGGUUGUAAAGCACUUUCAAUGGGGAGGAAAACUGCCGGUCAAUACCCGGUAGCUUGACAUUACCUUUAGAAGAAGCACCGGCUAAUCCGUGCCAGCAGCCGCGGUAAUACGGAGGGUGCGAGCGUUAAUCGGAAUUACUGGGCGUAAAGCGUGCGUAGGCGGUUCGUUAAGUCAGAUGUGAAAGCCCGGGCUUAACCUGGGAACUGCAUUUGAAACUGGCGGACUAGAGUUGAGUAGAGGGGAGUGGAAUUUCAGGUGUAGCGGUGAAAUGCGUAGAUAUCUGAAGGAACACCAGUGGCGAAGGCGACUCCCUGGACUCAAACUGACGCUGAGGUACGAAAGCGUGGGUAGCAAACAGGAUUAGAUACCCUGGUAGCCA
rnacentral:rRNA from 1 species